rnacentral:rRNA from 1 species
GAUGAACGCUGGCGGCGUGCCUAAUACAUGCAAGUCGAGCGAAAAGAUGAGGCGCUUGCUCCUCUGACGUUAGCGGCGGACGGGUGAGUAACACGUGGAUACCCUCCCUAUAGAUCUGGGAUAACUUCGGGAAACCGGACCUAAUACGGGAUAAUAUAUUGAACCGCAUGGUUCAAUAGUGAAAGACGGUUUUGCUGUCACUUAUAGAUGGAUCCGCGCCGCAUUAGCUAGUUGGUAAGGUAACGGCUUACCAAGGCAACGAUGCGUAGCCGACCUGAGAGGGUGAUCGGCCACACUGGAACUGAGACACGGUCCAGACUCCUACGGGAGGCAGCAGUAGGGAAUCUUCCGCAAUGGGCGAAAGCCUGACGGAGCAACGCCGCGUGAGUGAUGAAGGUCUUCGGAUCGUAAAACUCUGUUAUUAGGGAAGAACAAAUGUGUAAGUAACUAUGCACGUCUUGACGGUACCUAAUCAGAAAGCCACGGCUAACUACGUG